GUGCCAGCAGCCGCGGUAAUACGUAGGUUCCGAGCGUUGUCCGGAUUUAUUGGGCGUAAAGCGAGCGCAGGCGGUUAGAUAAGUCUGAAGUUAAAGGCUGUGGCUUAACCAUAGUACGCUUUGGAAACUGUUUAACUUGAGUGCAAGAGGGGAGAGUGGAAUUCCAUGUGUAGCGGUGAAAUGCGUAGAUAUAUGGAGGAACACCGGUGGCGAAAGCGGCUCUCUGGCUUGUAACUGACGCUGAGGCUCGAAAGCGUGGGGAGCAAACAGGAUUAG
rnacentral:rRNA from 1 species